rfam:Candidate division CPR3 bacterium GW2011_GWF2_35_18 TR67_C0006, whole genome shotgun sequence.
CGAAUAUAUUACAUUAUGCUAAUGACAGUAGGUGAGUAUUGAGUCUCAAUACUCUUAAUUUCCUACCGAGGUGACACAAGUAAAGAAUAUUUAAUAUUAUAUUUAACUUUACAAAAACGCUUUCGGUAUGAGCGUUUUUUUUGUAGAAAG